CAGAUGCAGUCAAGUCCGGGAGUCACCAGGUGCCACCCCAACCCUUGGUCUAUGGUAAUUUUCAUACCUCUCCCCUUCCUUCUCACCCUCCCUUGCUGGACUUCCAGAGUUUCUGCCCCUUCACUGCCUUUUUCCCCUUUCUUCAGGGCCUCUUUUUUUCCCCCAGGGUUGAGGCCUUAGAUCCCUGGGCUGUGUCCUCGCUGGUUAGGGAGUGGGGUGCGGGUGGGAUGUGCUAAAAACGCAAGCUAGUUCCUGGCCUAGAUUUAUUUUUCUGAUUGAUUUAUUUUUAGAGGCACGGUCUUGCUAUGUUGCCCAGACUGGACUUGAAGUCCUGGGCUCAAGAGAUCCUUCUGCCUCAGCCUCCCGAGUAGUUGGGACUAUAGGUGCAUGCCACUGUGCCUGGCCUGGAUUUGGUUUUGACAUUUACUCUGCCAUUUCGGCAACUAAAGGCUCUCUGGACAGGGUGGACAGUUAUGAAAGUCCAGUUGCGGUGACAAGAGUUACCCCACAAUCAAAUCUCAUCCCAUCCUCUUGGUGGGGAGCACCUUGAAGUACUCAGUAUCUUCACUGAAAUGAGGGCUGGAGUCCCCUGGAAGAAAAGACAGGGUCUCUAUGAGAAGUGGUGACAGCUUGAGGGAAGUAAUGGAGUCUCCCAGGAUAAGGGUUGAGGACUCUAGGGACAAUUGCUUCCUGCUACCCCCACCCCGAGAGCUGGAGUAGGGCUGGAGAAGGCCUCACAGUUCUCCUGGGCCUAACUCCUUGGUGUCAGAGGGGUUAAGUUCUGGGGGCAUUAGUGGGGGGUUUCUGGGGGGAGUAAUCUCUGAAGGGUAAUGGUGGGUCUUUGCAUAGGAGGUUUUGCAGUAUGGGAUUGAGUUUCAGUUCUGCUUUUUUUUUCUUUUUUUUUUUUUUUUAAGUCAGGGUGUCACUUUGUCGCCCAGACUAAAGUGGCACAAUCAUGGCUCACUGCACCCUUGAACUCCUGAGCUGGAGCAAUCAAUCCUCCCGCCUCAGCUUCUUGAGUAGUUGGGAGUACAGUCAUGCACCACCCACGCAGCCAGUUCUGCUUUUUAAGUGCGUACAUUGGGUAGGUUUCUUAACCUUCCUUCUUCUGUGUCCUCUUCUGCAAUAUAGUGAUAAAAUUUACUCCAUAGGGGUUGUGAUAAGGAU
rnacentral:lncRNA from 10 species